AAGCAUCAUACGCCAAGUUAUAAAACACUUACUUAAAAACUCAAAAGCCUCUAUACAGUAGUAGGUUAAUAACGAGGAACUAUUAUUCCUUCACGGCAUGCUGCUCAAGAAUACCAGAAAAAUAUUCCACAUGACAAUCGCAAACCAUUUGUAAUGUCUUACGCAUUUCAACAUCGAUACGUUCGCGUAGAAAAUUUAACUCUUGCUCAAGUUUUUCGUUGAAAAUGCAUAAUUCUUGAAACGAUAAUUGAAGCAACUCCAUGGGAUUAGCAUCGUCUUGACCUAAUGAGUACCGCUUUUUUUUAAAAAAUUUUGGAAUACUGAAUAAACUCGAGGUACGUAUAGUAGUGUUGGGCGACGGUUUAAGCUCAGGUGUCUGCUGCACAACGGGAGUGGCUUCUACAAAGUUUGGGUCAGAUCGUGAUGAUUGAUCAGGGUUAUUAGAGUUAGAUUGAACGAUUUGUUGGAAAUGUUCAAAUUGCUUCACCUUUUGUUCACGAGAUUUGAUCAAACUCUUAAAAACCACCAUGUAAUCUUCCAAAUCUUGAAUAGAUGUAAUUACCUUAGAAUGAAAAGAGUUUAUUAAAAAAAUGCUGUUUCUCUUUAGUCUUUUAAAUUCUACAGAGACAACAUCGAGGUUACUGAUGCUUAAAUUAGAAGGGACAGGAAUAUCAGUAGGAAAAUUUUGAACACUAUUCAUGUAUUGAACACAGGUUUUCUCCAACUUUGAGAGAUCCGUAUCCGCAUUUUGGAGAAGCUGUUUUGCUGUUUCAUACAAGCUUUGAGCAUACGGGUCUAAGUUUUGAAUUGAUGAUUCAAUUCCUCCGGAUACGUUAUUGCCCUUGGACUUAGUGUUUUCGGAUUGCAUCCACGCGUUAUGAUAAUAAGAUUUCCAAGAGUUAUUUUCCAAAAAUUGAUACAUAUGCAUAGAAUUGGAAAUUACAGGGUGUGUGGAGCAUCGAUCCAGAAACGUUUGGAGGGAUUGCAUUCGACGAGCAAUGAAUAUGGGAGAUAAUGAACCACCAGAGAAAGAACUAACAGUAUAUUUUCUCGGUAGCGGAGGGAUUGCAUAACCAUUAUAAUCAUGGCUCAAAAUAUUAUGAAGCAUCUCAAAAUCCUUAUAUCUCCGACGAACAGAGAACUUUUUAUCUUCAAAAACUGGCAGAUCCGAUUCAGUCUCAAUUUCAUAAGAGACGAAUGUAUCUCCGCUUCUUAAAGUUUCGAUUUGCUCAUUUUUAAUUGUACAUUUCAGCAUUGCUUACAUGUCAUGAAAGAGAUUGGUAAUCUUGCGACCCAAUAUUUUUAAAGUACAAGAUAAUACAGCUGAUUCGAAGUUCUUUACAAAGCAAUUAAGAUUUUUUUUAAACAAAUAACAAUGAAUGUAACUACAAAAUUCUUCAGAUAUUUUUGCAAUUGCUAUUUCCACAGAAUUUUGUAGUUGGUGCUGACUACGUAAAGAUCCAUUGGAGCACAAGCUAUGUCAAGCGUUCAAUUAGCAAAGAUAUUAGAGAAGAAUCACGCAAAACGGUAGCAAUAUUGAUAAACUUGUUAAGGAAAAGGAAUUUAAUAAACAAUU
rnacentral:lncRNA from 1 species